rnacentral:rRNA from 1 species
UCCGGUUGAUCCUGCCAGAGGUUACUGCUAUCAGGGUUUGAUUAAGCCAUGCAAGUUAUGUGUUUUUUGUAAACACGGCGAACUGCUCAGUAACACGCGGAUAAUCUGCCCUCAGGUUUGGGAUAACCCCGGGAAACUGGGGAUAAUACCAAAUGUUUCAAGGUUGCUGGAAUGCUCUUUGAUUGAAAGCUUCGGUGCCUGAGGAUGAGUCUGCGGCCUAUCAGGUUGUAGUGGGUGUAAUGUACCUACUAGCCAGCGACGGGUACGGGUUGUGAGAGCAAGAGCCCGGAGAUGGAUUCUGAGACAUGAAUCCAGGCCCUACGGGGUGCAGCAGGCGCGAAACCUUUACAAUGCGCGAAAGCGCGAUAAGGAGACCCUGAGUGCUAGCACAUAGUGCUGGCUGUCCAGCUGUUUAAAAAGCAGUUGUUAGCAAGGGCCGGGCAAGACCGGUGCCAGCCGCCGCGGUAACACCGGCGGCCCGAGUGGUAACCGAUUUUAUUGGGCUUAAAGCGUUCGUAGCCGGUUUAGUAAGUUUCUUAGGAAAUCUAGCAGCUUAACUGUUAGACGUCUAAGAGAUACUGCUAUGACUUGGGACCGGGAGAGGUAGGAGGUACUCCAAGGGUAGGGGUGAAAUCUUGUAAUCCCUGGGGGACCAUCGAUGGCGAAGGCAUCCUACCAGAACGGGUUCGACGGUGAGGGACGAAAGCUGGGGGCACAAACCGGAUUAGAUACCCGGGUAGUCCCAGCUGUAAACGAUGCUCGCUAGGUGUCAGAUACGGUGCGUCCGUAUUUGGUGCCGUAGGGAAACCGUGAAGCGAGCCGCCUGGGAAGUACGGUCGCAAGGCUGAAACUUAAAGGAAUUGGCGGGGGAGCAC